GACGAACGCUGGCGGCGUGCUUAACACAUGCAAGUCGAACGAUGAACCCGGAGCCUGCUCCGGUGGAUUAGUGGCGAACGGGUGAGUAACACGUGAGUAACCUGCCCUUGACUCUGGGAUAACUGCGGGAAACUGUAGCUAAUACCGGAUACGACCCUCGGCGGCAUCGCCAGGGGGUGGAAAGAAUUUCGGUCAAGGAUGGACUCGCGGCCUAUCAGCUAGUUGGUGAGGUAACGGCUCACCAAGGCGACGACGGGUAGCCGGCCUGAGAGGGUGACCGGCCACACUGGGACUGAGACACGGCCCAGACUCCUACGGGAGGCAGCAGUGGGGAAUAUUGCACAAUGGGCGACAGCCUGAUGCAGCAACGCCGCGUGAAGGAAGAAGGCCUUCGGGUUGUAAACUUCUUUUUUAGGGGACGAUUGUGACGGUACCCUAAGAAUAAGGACCUGCUAACUACGUGCCAGCCGCCGCGGUAA
rnacentral:rRNA from 1 species